rnacentral:rRNA from 1 species
CCUACGGGAGGCAGCAGUAGGGAAUAUUGCUCAAUGGGGGAAACCCUGAAGCAGCAACGCCGCGUGGAGGAUGAAGGUUUUCGGAUUGUAAACUCCUUUUGUUAGAGAAGAUAAUGACGGUAUCUAACGAAUAAGGACCGGCGAACUCCGUGCCAGCAGCCGCGGUAAUACGGAGGGUGCAAGCGUUACUCGGAAUCACUGGGCGUAAAGAGGGCGUAGGCGGGAUAGCAAGUCAGAUGUGGAAUCCUAUGGCUUAACCAUAGAACUGCAUUUGAAACUGUUAUUCUAGAGUAUGGGAGAGGUAGGUGGAAUUCUUGGUGUAGGGGUAAAAUCCGUAGAGAUCAAGAGGAAUACUCAUUGCGAAGGCGACCUGCUAGAACAUAACUGACGCUGAUGCGCGAAAGCGUGGGGAGCAAACAGGAUUAGAUACCCGAGUAGUC